rnacentral:rRNA from 1 species
CCAGACUCCUACGGGAGGCAGCAGUGAGGAAUAUUGGUCAAUGGUCGGGAGACUGAACCAGCCAAGCCGCGUGAGGGAUGAAGGUACAGAGUAUCGUAAACCUCUUUUGUCAGGGAACAAAGGCGGGGACGUGUCCCCGGAUGAGUGUACCUGAAGAAAAAGCAUCGGCUAACUCCGUGCCAGCAGCCGCGGUAAUACGGAGGAUGCGAGCGUUAUCCGGAUUUAUUGGGUUUAAAGGGUGCGGAGGCGGGCGUUUGACAUCGGGGGACAGCCCGGCGUCCCCCCCCCCCCCCCGCCGUUGAAACUGGCAGUCUCGAGUUGGAGAGAAGUAUGCGGAAUGCGCGGUGUAGCGGUGAGAUGCAUAGAUAUCGCGCAGAACUCCGAUUGCGAAGGCAGCAUGCCGGCUCCACACUGACGCUGAGGCACGAAAGCGUGGGUAUCGAACAGGAUUAGAUACCCCAGUAAUG